rnacentral:rRNA from 1 species
CCUACGGGUGGCAGCAGUGAGGAAUAUUGGUCAAUGGGCGCGAGCCUGAACCAGCCAAGUAGCGUGAAGGAUGACGGCCCUACGGGUUGUAAACUUCUUUUAUAAGGGAAUAAAGUGAGGGACGUGUGCCUUUUUGUAUGUACUUUAUGAAUAAGGAUCGGCUAACUCCGUGCCAGCAGCCGCGGUAAUACGGAGGAUCCGAGCGUUAUCCGGAUUUAUUGGGUUUAAAGGGAGCGUAGAUGGGUUGUUAAGUCAGUUGUGAAAGUUUGGGGCUCAACCGUAAAAUUGCAGUUGAUACUGGCAGUCUUGAGUACAGUAGAGGUAGGCGGAAUGCGUGGUGUAGCGGUGAAAUGCAUAGAUAUCACGCAGAACUCCGAUUGCGAAGGCAGCUUACUAAACUGCCACUGACACUGAUGCACGAAAGCGUGGGUAUCAAACAGGAUUAGAUACCCCGGUAGUC